UACGAAGGGGGCUAGCGUUGUUCGGAUUUACUGGGCGUAAAGCGCACGUAGGCGGAUUGCUAAGUCAGGGGUGAAAUCCUGGAGCUCAACUCCAGAACUGCCUUUGAUACUGGCGACCUUGAGUCCGGAAGAGGUGAGUGGAAUUCCUAGUGUAGAGGUGAAAUUCGUAGAUAUUAGGAAGAACACCAGUGGCGAAGGCGGCUCACUGGUCCGGUACUGACGCUGAGGUGCGAAAGCGUGGGGAGCAAACAGG
rnacentral:rRNA from 1 species